UACGUAGGGUGCGAGCGUUAUCCGGAUUUAUUGGGUUUAAAGGGUGCGCAGGCGGGAGAUUAAGUCGGCGGUGAAAUUUUGCAGCUCAACUGUAAAAGUGCCUUCGAAACUGGUUUCCUUGAGUGUAGAUGAAGUAGGCGGAAUUUGUGGUGUAGCGGUGAAAUGCAUAGAUAUCACGAGGAACUCCGAUUGCGCAGGCAGCUUACUAAACUAUAACUGACGCUCAGGCACGAAGGCGUGGGGAUCAAACAGGAUUAGAUACCCUGGUA
rnacentral:rRNA from 1 species